rnacentral:lncRNA from 1 species
UUUUUGACAGGGUCUUUUGUCACCCAGGCCAGAGUGCAGUGGCUCCAUCUCAGCUCAUUACAGCCUUGACCUCCCAGGCUCAAGUGAUCCUCCUACCUGAACCUCCAGAAUAGCUGAGACUACAGGUGCACACCAUCAUACCUGGCUAAUUUAAUUUUUUUUUUUUUUUUUGAGAUAAGAGUUCUGCCACUUUGCUCAUGCUGGUCUCAGACUCUUUUUUUUUUUUUUUUUUCCUGAGACCGAGUCUUGCUCUGUCACCCAGGCUGGAGUACAGGGGCAUGAUCUUGGCUCACUGCAACCUCCAUCUUCUGGGUUCAAGCCAUUCUCCUGCCUCAGCAUCCCCAGUAGCUGGGGUUACAGGCACGUGCCACCAUGCCCAGCUAAUUUUAGUAUUUUAGUAGAGAUGGGGUUUCACCAUGUUGGCCAGGCUGGUCUCAAACUCCUGACCUCAAGUGAUCCACUCAUCUUGGCCUCCCAAAGUGCUAGGAUUACAGGCAUGAGCUACCACACCCAGCCAGGUCUCAAACUCAAGCUCAAGUGAUCUUCCUGCCUUGGCCUCAAAGGUACUGGGAUUACAGUUACUCGCUGGAAGUGGUGGGAAUCAUAAAAAACAACCAGGACCUUGCAUCCUAGUAUAGAAGCCACAACUGUGGAAGCUUAACAGCCAGGCAAAUGCCCACAAACCACCACCCUCUGCAUUGGAUGCAUAUGUCCCUGACCUCGCAAGUGAAAAAGAGAGGAAGACGGCGACACCUCCAGGCUUCAGACUCAUUAAUCCUGUGAAUCGUGACCCACUCUUAAAACCAAGGUCUUUUAAAUUAAAUGAUGUAUUUUACAUUCCACUUGGAAAUACUCUGGCCAGGCAGCAUAACAGUCUUGUAGAUGAAACAGCCAAAUUAGGUUGUUCUCAAACUCUUAGCUUUUUUUCUUAGGGAAAAGAAAAAUUUAAGAACCACAUACACAUGCAACUACUACCACUUCACAAAUUAAAAAGUGAGGAGAGGAGGCCGG